rnacentral:rRNA from 1 species
UACGUAGGGUGCAAGCAUUAAUCGGAUUUAUUGAGCGUAAAGGGCGCGUAGGCGGGAAUGCCAGUCAGAUGUGAAAUCCCGGGGCUCAACCUCGGAACAGCAUUUGAAACUACAUUUCUAGAGGGUAGACGGAGAAAACGGAAUUCCACAAGUAGCGGUGAAAUGCGUAGAUAUGUGGAAGAACACCAGUGGCGAAGGCGGUUUUCUAGUUUAUACCUGACGCUGAUGCGCGAAAGCAAGGGGAGCAAACAGG